rnacentral:rRNA from 1 species
CUCAGAACGAACGCUGGCGGCAUGCCUAAUACAUGCAAGUCGAACGAGACCCCUGACUUCGGUUGGCGGGUCUAGUGGCGCACGGGUGCGUAACGCGUGGGAAUCUGCCCUUGGGUUCGGAAUAACGUUUGGAAACGAACGCUAAUACCGGAUGAUGACGCCAAAGAGAUUUGGAGUCCAAAGAUUUAUCGCCCAAGGAUGAGCCCGCGUAGGAUUAGCUAGUUGGUGGGGUAAAGGCCCACCAAGGCGACGAUCCUUAGCUGGUCUGAGAGGAUGAUCAGCCACACUGGGACUGAGACACGGCCCAGACUCCUACGGGAGGCAGCAGUAGGGAAUAUUGGACAAUGGGGGCAACCCUGAUCCAGCAAUGCCGCGUGAGUGAUGAAGGCCUUAGGGUUGUAAAGCUCUUUUACCCGGGAUGAUAAUGACAGUACCGGGAGAAUAAGCCCCGGCUAACUCCGUGCCAGCAGCCGCGGUAAUACGGAGGGGGCUAGCGUUGUUCGGAAUUACUGGGCGUAAAGCGCACGUAGGCGGCGAUUUAAGUCAGGGGUGAAAGCCCAGUGCUCAACACUGGAACUGCCCUUGAGACUGGAUUGCUUGAAUCACGGAGAGGUGGGUGGAAUUCCGAGUGUAGAGGUGAAAUUCGUAGAUAUUCGGAAGAACACCAGUGGCGAAGGCGGCCCACUGGAC